rnacentral:rRNA from 1 species
GAUGAACGCUAGCGGCAGGCCUAAUACAUGCAAGCCGAACGGCAAGUCUUUUAGCAAUAGAAGACCUAGAGUGGCGUAAGGGUGCGUAACACGUAUGCAAUCUGCCCUCAACAGGAGGAUAGCUCCCCGAAAGGGGAAUUAAGCCUCCAUAGGAUCGUAAUGUGGCAUCACAUAGCGAUUAAACUACCAGGGGUUGAGGAUGAGCAUGCGCAUGAUUAGUUAGUUGGCGGGGUAACGGCUCACCAAGGCGAUGACGGGUAGCUGGUCUGAGAGGAUGAUCAGCCACACUGGGACUGGAACACGGCCCAGACUCCUACGGGAGGCAGCAGUGGAGAAUUUUGGACAAUGGGCGAAAGCCUGAUCCAGCCAUGCCGCGUGAGUGAAG